AUUGAACGCUGGCGGCAGGCCUAACACAUGCAAGUCGAGCGAGCGGCGGGCGGGGGAGUAAUGUAUGUGGAAUGUCCGCGAUGGAGGGAGAACUACUGGGGAAGGUAGCUAAUACCGCGUACUCUCGGAUAACGCCUAUGGGAGUAGCUAGUAGGUGAGGUAAUGGCUCACCUAGGCGACGAUCCCUAGCUGGUCUGAGAGGAGGAUCAGCCACACUGGAACUGAGACACGGCCCAGACUCCUACGGAGGCAGCAGUGGGGAAUAUUGCACAAUGGGCGCAAGCCUGAUGCAGCCAUGCCGCGUGUAUGAAGAAGGCCCUAGGGUUGUAAAGUACUUUCAGUGGGGAGGCGUUACCGACAGAAGAAGCACCGGCUAACUCCGUGCCAGCAGCCGCGGUAAUAC
rnacentral:rRNA from 1 species